ACCACACGGGGAUGCAUAAAACGAUUUUUGGACAUCUUUCGGCCUUUGGUGGUCGCAAGUCACAGGAAGGGGCAGUGGACGGCAAAAGUUACGUUUCCAACUAUUGAAAAAAAAACGCUUUCAGUUGAGUGCACUCGUGGAUCACUGAACAUAUUUAGUGAUCACAAAGAGGAAUGUUUUAGUCCUACUUUUAUAUCUGCUGUCAAACGUCGCGCGCAUGAAUUGCUCUCCACUUCCGCGUACAAUGUUUUUUUACAACGACAUACAACAACUUUAGAACAGGAAGCCUUCAGAGGCGCUUGUCAAUUCGUCUCACCUUUUAGGAGAGGAGCCCGGUUUUUCCGGUGUUGGUGUGACCUACAACAGGAUGGAUUGUGAAGACGCCCAUAACGGGCGCGGGCCGUCAGGUGCUCAGUGUUCAAAUCCAGCCAUGAACAUAAUUGGAGCAGAAGAUGAAGACUUUGAGAAUGAUGAGCAACCUAUGGUGGAUGAUCAGAGCAGUCACUUUACCAGCAUUGAACUGUUGAAGUCCAGGCCCACCCACCUACUGACCUUCAUUCAUCAUGUCAUGUUACAGUUUGACUGUGCUCCUGUGCUAUGCUACCUUCAUGCUGACCUCUUCAGGAACUUCAAUGCCAAAGACACCAAGAAGCACUUUGGGGAAUUCUACAACUCUUUUCUGGAAAAAGGAGCGAUUCUUAAAGUAUCUGUGCCAAAUAACCUAGCCUCUGAACUGGAUCGCAUGCGUCCAGAAAUGAUUAGCGAAGAACAUCAAAAACGCUUUGCUAAUGAAAUACAGUACCUGCAGUGUCCAGAGAUACUGCGGCAGCUGGACGACUUCAGGCAGAAGAGGAUGAUGGGAAUGACUCCCAAUGAGCGUGAACUAAAUGAUGUGGAAUCCCAUCGUCCAACCGACCGCAUCCCUAUGGACAUGAAGGAAAAGGCAGUAGCAGAGUCCUUGCUGGAAAAGAUGUUUGAGGCCAACCCCUCAAUUGUUCCAGACAAGGACAAAAGUAACUGCAUCUUUGGAGCAGUAGCCCUUUAUAUGAAGCACCUUGGCGUCAAGACCAGAGCACUUGACAACAAGAAGACAAAGUCAGGAUGGCGGCCCUCUGUCCCUUCUGUCCUGAAGCCAUGGGGAACCAACAGACCAAACAAAAUAGUCAAACCGCCUCCAUUCACCCAUGAUGGUAAGCAAUCUAGAUUGGACUUUGAAGUAAAGCAAAGCAAACAAACCGUCCCACCUCAUCGAGUGUCCGUAAGUGAUAGUGGCACCACUUCAGUGCGGAAACCUGGUGUGGCAGGGUCAGGUAGUGUGCAUGGCUCGGAGAGCAGUGAAGAGAUGACCAUCAGCGUCAGUGUGACUCCUAGUCCUGACUCUCAGACUGACACGGGUGUUAACAACAAUCGUUCAGACCCCAGACCAGUCUCAGAGGGGGGAGAUGCAUCUCCUGUCAGCACUGGUGGGGGUCUCUCCAUCUGUGAAUCUCCCUCUGUCAUCGAUGUCCCUCCAGAUGACAGUCAGGACAGUAGCAGAAAGAAGACAAGGAAUGUGCGCCGCAGCGAGAGCCUUUGCGUGGAGCGCCGUCACUCUCGCCGUAGUGGCUCUUCCCGCGCCAAGCAGUCUCGCUCCCGUAGCGACGUGGACCUGCAGUCAACUUCCACCUCCCUCCCCCUCUCACCCUCCCCACAGCAUUCAGUCUUUGUGGAAGGUGGGUUGUUGCCUGAUGGCCUCGUGACUGGUCCUGCUUUUGGCCCCUUCCCUCAGCAGGAAGAGAUGGAGCCCCGUCUCCUGGAGCUCGAGCAGGACCCGCCCAACUGGAGAGCCCUUGCUUCUCCUGAGGACUUGAAAAAACUGAGCAAAAAGGAAAUCAAAAGACAAGAAGUCAUCAAUGAGCUGUUUUCGACAGAGCAUGCUCAUGUCCGUAUGCUGAGUGUAUUGCAGACUGUGUUUUCUCGUCCGCUGGAGAGGAAUGAGAUUAUGAGCAUAACUGAGCUGGCCACCAUCUUCCCCAGCCUUGAUGAGAUCAUAGAGAUGCACUAUACUUUCUAUGAAAACCUGAAAAAACAGCGGCAGGAGGAUGAGUACAUUGUCAAAAUCAUAAGCACGCCACUUCUGAACAGGUUCAGUGGAUCAGAGGGAGAGUGGUUUCAGAAGCUCUCGGCACGCUUCUGUAGCUACCAGACGUGGGCUCUGGAGCUGAUAAAGACCAGACAGAAGAAGGAUCCCCGUUUUAAUGCUUUUAUUCUGGAGGCAGAGAGUAAGCCACAGUGUCGGAGGCUACAGCUGAAGGAUAUCAUUCCUAUAGAGAUGCAAAGACUAACCAAGUACCCUCUUCUGUUAGAAAACAUAGCCAAGAACACAGAUGAUGACACAGAAAAAGAGAAGAUUAACCAAGCAGCAGAAUCUUGCCGCAAGAUCCUCAACCAUGUCAAUGAAGAAGUUAAACUCAUGGAGAACCUUCUGAUUUUGAAAGACUACCAGCGCCGGCUGGACACCUCAGGACUGAAACCGAGCAAUGACCUCUACAUUGAGUACAAGAACAUUGAUCUGACCACCAGAACAAUGCUGUUUGAAGGACCUCUGACAUGGAGGGUGACCAAGGAGAAGACGAUCGAUGUCCACUGUGUUUUGCUGUCAGACCUGUUAGUCUUGCUUCAGAAGCAGGAUGAUAAGAUGGUUUUGAAGUGUCAGAGCAAAAGCAACAUAGCCAUUCAGGAAGGCAAACAGAUGCUGAGUCCAAUCAUCAAACUAGAAUCUGUUUUUCUCAGAGAUGUGGCCACUGACCCGAAGGCCCUCUACGUUAUCUUCACUUGGGAAAGUGGAGCACAGAUUUAUGAACUAGUGGCUCAGUCCAUCGUGGAGAGGAAAAAUUGGAUAGAGGUGAUUAAGACUACGAUUGACGAGUUGAAGAAGAGGGACGGAAAUAAGAUAACUAGAAAACAAAGCACCAGCAUACCUAACAGCAUCCUUGGACCUUUAUACAGCCCUUUGCAUCCCCCUCUUAGCCCCACUGAAAAUGGAGGAGACCUGUUGAAAAGUCGCAGUGAGCGAUUUAAAGACACACUUACUGAUGAGAAGAGUAGAGAAAAUGAUACUUCACUCAUAGACUACCUAGUGGCCAAUGGCUUUGACCUGCUCAGCCAUAGCCACAUCCCUCCAGAGAAGUCUGCUGUUGGUGCUUUGGAUGAAGUCAAGUAUUUGAAGAGGCUAUUGGUCGGCAGUAUUAGCCUGUCAGAUGACUCUCAGACUCUUGUGGAAAAUGCACCUGAAAGCCAGGAGGCAGAUGGAGGUCAGUCUUCAGUGGAGGAAUCCAGCACAGAAGAAAGAACUGAAGGAGAAGAGAGUGGGGGAGAUGGAGGGAAUAAAGGAGAAGAGGAGAGAGGGAUAAGUGCUCCUCUAGUGCUUUCUGAGGAACGCAUGGAGGAGGUGCAGAUGAGACUGCAGACUCUUCAGGAGCAACUGAAGAGAUUGCAGGCAAGGAGAACACAAAUGCAUUUGUGAAAGAGAAUAGAGUCAGUUCUUCAGAUCUUGAAGAGGAGAGAUAUUAAGCAAACAGUCUACUAAUACUCUGAUGAGAGUUAAUAGACAUGUACCUAAUGCAUAUCUCUGAUGUUGUGUUUGUUCCCAGGCUGUUGAGGAGGAACAUUAUAAGUUACAAGAAGCUCUUGCUAAAUAUUCACUUCAGGGGGGCCAUUACAACUGAGAAACUUGACAACCUGCUGUUACAAGAUCACUGUAUGUGCUGGACUCAAGACUUUGCUGGUUGACUAAUUCUGCCUGACUUUCCCUGCUCUAUCUCUUCUAUCUUAUCAGCUGUCCUUUCAGAAGAUUGUCAGCAGGCCUCCCGCACUUUCCAUGCCACCGAGAAAUGAAAUGAAAUGAAGUGGGUGUUGUGAAAUUAUAGUGAUCCUUGACCUUGAACGAGUGUGUUUGUGUUUCUGUUGAGAGGUGUGAAAGACAGUCUUGCCAAAAUAUGCCAAAGCAAUGUGCAUCCUUUAGCGAGAUAUCAGAGCUAAAUGCUAGGUGUACAUGUGGAAGCAAUGUAACAUACAGUACAGAAACAUGCCAAAUGGACACACACGCAAAGAUAAGCAUGUCAAAAGUAAUUAUUACCAAAAGACUAUCUAUAUUCAUAGUAAAGUGUAGUUGCAUCUUUGGGAAUGCAGUCUGAUGCAUAUGAAGCCUGCUUCUCAAACUGUAGUUCAGUUAGGUUUUCAAUAAGGUAAUUUUAAGAUGUUCAUCCUAUUAAUUGAUACCAUACUAUAUAAUACAUGCAUUUUCAAAAAUAACAGAUAUUCAAAAGGAUAGAUGUAGAACUGUUGUUGCAUGCAUUGGCCAAAUUGUUGUAAAAUGAAGAGUAUAAGUAUAGACCUUUUAGUUUUUGUUUUGUUUUUUACCCUCUUCUUACCAGAAGUUCUGUUGUUGCUCUGUGUAUAAGAAAAGAAAUUGCUAAUUAGAUGGAUCAACUGAUGGAUGAGCAAAGGAAGUAAUGAGAAGGUUUGAAGAAGGUGGGCUUGCUUAUGCCUAACCCCUCUGAAGUGAAAACAAGGCAAGCAUUGAUGUCGAGAGAUCUCGUCAGGGUUAGAUAUCGUGGUUGAGGAAAUAUGCACAGAUAACGGAGAAUUUUGAAUGACCAGCGUCUGUGCUGUUAUAAUGGGAAGCAUGCUCAAUGUACAGCGUUCUCGAAUGCAGCUGUUGCAGGUUGCACUUUGGUAGGUCAACUCCGAUCUUAUGAUAAUCAUCACACAUUGCCUAUUUGUGUGAGCUAUGCAAAUUCUGUGUCUGUCUGUAAAAGGUAUCAGUCAUUUCUGAUAAUUUAGUUUUUUCUGUCUUUAUGUUCUAAAGUACAAUUACUCUACAGUUGCAAAAAUAUAAUUUUUUUCUGUAAUUGCUUGUAACGAGGUCUCUCGGUUUAUUUUAUUUUAGGGAGUAAUUUUCUUUCAAAGCAGGACCAAAGAAAUGAUAGUGGAACAAAGUUUAGCUAUGUAAACACUUUUGCCUUGCGCGGGGAGGUCAGCUGUAUAUUGGAAUGGAGAAGUAUCCUGAUUCUCAUUGACAGUCCAUGAUUUCCAGCUUAAGGGACCAGACUUUUCUCUUCUGCUCUCCCUGUCUUAUUAGGAAACCAGAGCACAGAGAAUCAGGCAGAUGUGGAUGGUUGAUGAAAAUAUUAUAUCUCAGAGUUUGAAGACAGGAACACAAAUGUAGGGUUUUCACCAGUACUGUAGUUAUUUUCAUGUAUUCAUGAUGCUACUGCAACAGGUCUUUUUUUUACCCUCAACCUACUUUCAAAUUAUGCAAUUUAUUUUACCUUAUUUGUUACAUAUUGUGAUUUAUAUUCAUUGUAAUUGUGCUGAUCUUUGUGAUUUCAGUAAGGCCUUGUUACCUUUUCCCGCUUUACAGAAUGGUUUAUCAGAACAGUUUGUCAGAGGUCUUGCAUUCUGGUCAGCAGUGUUGAUCCUAGAACAUGUGAGACCUUUUGUUCUUUUCAUUAUUUUUUUCUUUUAGAAGUAGCAAGCGAAAAUGUACAAAUUUUGGUAAUGAAACUAUUAUGGUGCAAGAUCUGUUCUACCUACUUCACUUUCCCACAUUCCUUUUGCACAACUUCUUUUAUUCAAAAUUGCUUGAAUGGGGGGUUUAUACAUUGCCUUUGAAAAUUAUGUAAUUAGCAUACUAUGCAUUGCCUUUUAUAAAAGAAGGACUGAGAGAGUUAAGAGUGCACCCUUAACUAUAAAAAAGGCUUCAUUGAAUUUCACUUUUAUUGCAAGAGUUUUCUUUUUGAUGUGAAACUGACCUCAGUUUAAAUUCGAUUAGAAAGUUUCAAACAGCCUUGAACCCUUGAUAACUGAUAAAGAUGGGGGUUUGGGUGUGGUGUCAUUCUCUCUCAUUCCUUAAUAUUUUCAUGUGUAUCUGUCACAUAUACGUGUAGUGAUAUAUCUGUAUGUUUAAAUCUAUUUAUAGGGUGCCUUGUGCAGAUUGGGUUUGUUUUCAUCUCUGACAGGCAUGGGUGUCCUUGCCCUCUCCUCACUAGUGAUGUUCAGUGUUUAAUAUUAAUCUGAUAUUUUGCUCCAUACCCGCCAAAUUAUAGCAGUUCCACUCGUUUGUUGUUCUUAAAAAUGGCUGAGUGCUUAGUACUGAGUGCUCUUUGUUAGAGCUUUUAAAGCCUGCAAUCCGUGACUGUCUUUUAUGUAAUUCUGUGUACAGGAGUCCACUCAUUGCAGGCAUUCCAUUACUGUCUGUCUAUUUAAAUGAUUAUGCAAGGACUAUUCUGUGUAUUUGGGCUUUGAUUUUAUAUGUAAGAUACAUAUAAAUGUAGGUACUUCUUUUUUUUUUCUUUUUUAAAUAAAUUAUCAGAAAUG